GCCACCAUGCCUUGCCUCGCCGCCAUUGAUCUCUCCGCAGUCCACUUCCGCCGGAGCUCAUGCCAUUGCCGAUUGAGCACCAUGAAGAACAGAAGGUGCGCUCGAUGAGUGAGAAGGGAUGGAGGCUGGGUUUUUGUCACUGUACUACUCCAUUUCUACCUCUACCAUGCCCUAUUGAGGCUGUCGGAGCCUCUGCUAUCAUCGGGGUGGCUGUUUAGUUGAUGUUGUUGCCUGGGUCGCUGCGGUACGAGCUGCCAUCAAUGGAGCUGCUCUGUGCAGUGGUUUCGGUGAGUUUUGACACUGAGCUACUAUUAUCAGAAAUUCGGGCCGCCGUUAUCGCUCGAAAUUUAAUGGAGCCGCUGCCGGGUUGAUAUGGAGCUACGGCCAUUUCGUUUUGUUAAUUCAGGGUUAGAAUCCGAGUUUACUUGUGGCGUUGAGGCUGUUUCUUCUAUUGAGGAAAACACAUGGAGUCGGGAUUUUGAUUGUUGAUUUCAGGUUGAAGUGGAAAGGACUUUGUGACGCGUUUGGGUUAUGGAAUUACGUUUUGAGGAUAUGGGCGCAGAAGUCACGAAGAGUUAUCUAGUUGUUGUUGAGAUGUUCUGUGUUGUUUUAGUUAUGGUUUAUUAUACCCUCGCCUUUAUCUUGAGAUUUUCUGUAAGAGGGAUAUGAAUUGUAUUGGAUACUGCUUGUGAUAUUAUUUAUAAAUAUAUGUAUCUAUAUGCAUGUA